rnacentral:rRNA from 1 species
AUUGAACGCUGGCGGCAGGCCUAACACAUGCAAGUCGAGCGGAAACGAGAAUAGCUUGCUAUUCGGCGUCGAGCGGCGGACGGGUGAGUAAUGCCUGGGAAAUUGCCCUGAUGUGGGGGAUAACCUUUGGAAACGAUGGCUAAUACCGCAUAAUAGCUUCGGCUUAAAGAGGGGGACCUUCGGGCCUCUCGCUUCAGGAUAUGCCCAGGUGGGAUUAGCUAGUUGGUGAGGUAAAGGCUCACCAAGGCGACGAUCCCUAGCUGGUCUGAGAGGAUGAUCAGCCACACUGGAACUGAGACACGGUCCAGACUCCUACGGGAGGCAGCAGUGGGGAAUAUUGCACAAUGGGCGCAAGCCUGAUGCAGCCAUGCCGCGUGUAUGAAGAAGGCCUUCGGGUUGUAAAGUACUUUCAGCAGUGAGGAAGGGUGUGUAGUUAAUAGCUGCAUACUUUGACGUUAGCUGCAGAAGAAGCACCGGCUAACUCCGUGCCAGCAGCCGCGGUAAUACGGAGGGUGCGAGCGUUAAUCGGAAUUACUGGGCGUAAAGCGCAUGCAGGAGGUUUGUUAAGUCAGAUGUGAAAGCCCGGGGCUCAACCUCGGAACCGCAUUUGAAACUGGCAGGCUAGAGUACUGUAAGGGGGGUAGAAUUACA